CUGCAGCCUGCCCUUGAAGCAAGAAGGACUCUGAUAAACUGGAGCAAGUUCAGAGGCACCACCAGCAUCACUGAUGUGCUCAGCUUUGAGCAGCAGCAGGUUCACCUUGGAAAAUCUGGAGCCAGCUCUGUGAGACAUUGGGAUGGCUCCUGAUGUCAUCUCAGGGAAGCCACCCCUGCAACUUCCCCACUACCUUGCCAGAAUAAAAAAAUGUCAGCUAAAUGUGAUCAGCAGCAGGGCACAGAACUGUACAGACCUGAGUCUCCAGUCAGCCAAACCAAGGUAGAAACUUCUGGAGGAUAGAGAAAUGAAGAUAAGCUUUGGCUGUAAUUAUCUGAACUAAUUCAAGAGACUAGAGUGAGUACA